rnacentral:rRNA from 1 species
UUGGUCCUAAACUUGCCGUUGUUUUUAAUAAAAAUUACACAUGCAAGCCUCAACAAACCAGUGAGAAUGCCCACAAAUCCCUAAACAGGAAGCAGGAGCAGGCAUCAGGAACACCAACCAACUAGCCUACAACGCCUUGCUACGCCACACCCACAAGGGCCCUCAGCAGUGAAAAGUAUUAAAAAUAAGCGAAAGCUUGAUUUAGUUAUUAUUAAACCUGGUUGGUUAAUUUCGUGCCAGCCACCGCGGUUAUACGAAAAACCAGAAACAACAGCCCACGGCGUAAAGAGUGAUAAAAGACCCCGUUCACUUAAAGGAAAACUACAGCAGAGUUGUAAAACACUACUGACUGCAAGAACCACAACAUAAAACUAGGCCUUUAAACCGCUUAACCUCACGAAAGCUAAGAAACAAACUGGGAUUAGAUACCCCACUAUGCUUAGCCGUAAACAAAAACAGUACAAAUACAACACUGUUCGCCAGAGAACUACAAGCAAAAACUCAAAACUCUAAGGACUUGGCGGUGUCCCAUAUCAACCUAGAGGAGCCUGUCCUAUAAUCGAUACCCCCCGAUCCACCCAACCCUCCCUCGAAACUCAGCCUAUAUACCGCCGUCGCCAGCCUACCCCAUGAGGGGACUAAAGUAAGCAAAACAACCACAGGCUAAAACGUCAGGUCAAGGUGUAGCACAUGGAAGGGAAGAG